GAUGAACGCUAGCGACAGGCCUAACACAUGCAAGUCGAGGGGCAGCACAUGAGUAGCAAUACGAUGGUGGCGACCGGCGCACGGGUGAGUAACACGUAUGCAACCUGCCUUCUACUAUGGGAUAACCCGUUGAAAGACGGACUAAUACCGUAUAAUACAGGGGCUCCGCAUGGAGAUAUUUGUUAAAGAUAUAUUGGUAGAAGAUGGGCAUGCGUAUGAUUAGAUAGUUGGUGAGGUAACGGCUCACCAAGUCAACGAUCAUUAGGGGUUCUGAGAGGAAGGUCCCCCACACUGGUACUGAGACACGGACCAGACUCCUACGGGAGGCAGCAGUGAGGAAUAUUGGUCAAUGGACGAGAGUCUGAACCAGCCAAGUCGCGUGAAGGAAGACGGUUCUAUGAAUUGUAAACUUCUUUUGUGCAGGAAUAAAGUGGGUUACGUGUAACCUUUUGUAUGUACUGUACGAAUAAGGAUCGGCUAACUCCGUGCCAGCAGCCGCCGUAAAAC
rnacentral:rRNA from 1 species